CUUGGACAGAGAAUCUGUUAGCACUUGCUUGCCACCUUGCAAUCCUGGGCUUUCCAAAUGGGCCGUUCAAACAGCACCGAGGACAGCUGGGACACCCCUUGCCUGCUGUGAGGAGCCGUGCGGCGUUUCCAGCUGGCAGGAGAGCCGAGGAGGAGGCGCAGGAUCGCCCCAGGCGCUCGGAGGAACGGUGGGCAGAGAACUGUCAGCUGCAUGAACAGGCAGAUGCAGCAGCAGCCACAUUCAGACCAAGAGAAACAAACUGUUAACAAGAUUCUUAAUCUCUUUUCCUCAAUUCCAUUGGAAACACAUAUUCACUCAGGCUACAGUGGGUAUAAAUCCAGAUGACUAUUUCAAGUAAAGAAGCUUCUAGAAUUUA